UACCAGCUCUCCGAGUUGUAGGGAUGAUUAUUGGGCUUAAAGCGUCCGUAGCCGGCUUAGCAAGUCUCCUGUUAAAUUCAGCGACCUAAUCGUUGAUCCGCGGGAGAUACUACUAGGCUAGGAGGCGGGAGAGGUCGACGGUACUUUCGGGGUAGGGGUGAAAUCCUAUAAUCCCGGGAGGACCACCAGUGGCGAAGGCUGUCGACUAGAACGCGCUCGACGGUGAGGGACGAAAGCUGGGGUAGCGAACCGGAUUAGAUACCCGGGUAGUCCCAGCUGUAAACUAUGCGAGCUAGGUGUUGGGGUGGCUACGGGCCACUUCAGUGCCGCAGGAAAGCCAUUAAGCUCGCCGCCUGGGGAGUACGGCCGCAAGGCUGAAACUUAAAGGAUUGACGGGGAGCACCACAAGGCGUGAAGCUUGCGGUUC
rnacentral:rRNA from 1 species